GGUUGAUCCUGCCAGUAGUCAUAUGCUUGUCUCAAAGAUUAAGCCAUGCAUGUCUCAGCAUAAGCUUCUAUACGGCGAAACUGCGAAUGGCUCAUUAAAACAGUUACAGUUUAUUUGAUGGUCAUUCUUUACAUGGAUAACCGUGGUAAUUCUAGAGCUAAUACAUGCGCCCAAACCCGACUUUGCGGAAGGGUUGUGCUUAUUAGUUACAGAACCAACCCAGGCUCGCCUGGUCUUGUGGUGAUUCAUAAUAAUCCAACGAAUCGCAUGGCAUCAGCUGGCGAUGAAUCAUU
rnacentral:rRNA from 1 species